rnacentral:rRNA from 1 species
UACGUAGGGGGCAAGCGUUGUCCGGAAUCAUUGGGCGUAAAGCGCGUGUAGGCGGCUUGGUAAGUCUGGUGUGAAACCUCGGGGCUCAACCCCGAGCCUGCACUGGAUACUGCCUCGCUCGAGUCCGGGAGGGGAGAGCGGAAUUCCUGGUGUAGCGGUGAAAUGCGCAGAUAUUAGGAAGAACACCGGUGGCGAAGGCGGCUCACUGGCCCGGUACUGACGCUGAGGUGCGAAAGCGUGGGGAGCAAACAGG